GGGUAUAGCUCAGUGUUAGAACAUUUGCCUAACAUGAUCAAGAUCCUGGGUUCAAUCCCCAGCACCACA
rnacentral:tRNA from 1 species